rnacentral:misc_RNA from 1 species
GGGUGCAAAAACAGAAAGAUCCUGAGCCUAGUAAAUCCAUCACCAGAAUCCAACUUAUCGUAUUCCUCCAUCAUAUUGACCACAUCAUCGUCAUUCACUACUGAGACGAGAGCAUCAAGAUCCUCGUCAGGCUGCUGAUACUUCAGUACCAUUGCCCCCUCAUAGAUCUCCCUCAUUUUAGUCAUGAGUUCGUCAUAAGAAAUAUCACGCGGAACACACACUAUCCUUGUCUCACCACCCACAUACCGAAGCUUCCCAUCCUGUGGCCU